GCGAGACUGGUUACUACGCUGAUUUUUGUGACAGAGAAUGUUCCACUGGAUGUACAGACAGCAUGUGUGACCGGAUCAAUGGUCACUGUACAGAAUGUGAGACUGGUUACUACGCUGAUUUUUGUGACAGAGAAUGUUCCACUGGAUGUACAGACAGCAUGUGUGACCGGAUCAAUGGCCAAUGUGGAGACAGAUUCAACAUUGAUGCAGUUGUGACAGGUUGCACAUUAGGAGUGUUCGUUCUGGUAUUGCUCAUCUUGUACGUUGCACUUGUCAAACGUCUCUCAAGAAUUCAAAGCGCAACUAAGCCAGCUACAAAGUAGAAGGAAAUAUCUAGCGUAGCUACCAUACCAGCCAACGAAGAAUCUCCAUACUAUGAAUAGGCGCAUCACGGCUAAUCCAGUUGAUGAACGAUACGAAACAUUGGACAAAAAGAAGAGAGGACUAAAUAAAUACCAGAUACUUGAACAUUUGCGGGUAUUAGACAGACGUAUGCAUGGUUUCCCGGAUGCAUACUUAAAGGCACACCAAAUGUAUACGGCGAUUCAGUAUUACCUAAAUAUGUCUCGUAUCUAAGUUCUAUUUAGUUGCCAAAUGUUUUGUUUUUGAUACCUAAUGAUAUAAAUAAAAUAUUAUCUACACUGAAAUAUAACAUAGCUUGAAGUGAAGAGGCUAUAUUUAUUUGAGGCACAAGACGGGAUACUUUGUAGACUUGAGCGAAAUCGAGUAUUUUUCAAACUAAAAGAAGCAAGCAAAAAACCAAUUACCUAUAACUGAGCAAGAUCUGGUUAUCCAAGUCUCGGGCCAACUUAUGAUUAUGUUACAGAAUCUUAGGUCUUGACUCCGAUAUCAUAUAAUUUAGAGAAAUAUAAUAAACGCUCUGAGAUAUCUUCAUCAAUUGAGACAUGUAUAAUAAACACUCCCAGAUAUCUUUAUCAAUUUAACGAUAUAUAAUAAACGCUUUCUAUCAAUUUAAGAAAGUUCUUAUUAAAAAUGGAGAUAUCUUAUAUAAUCCGUAUCAUGUGGGAAAAAAUAUCUCUAUUUUUGUUUUUUUCAAUAAAUAUGUUAUUUUUGGUUUUUUGUUUAAAGCUAGGCUGUCUGUAUUUUACUUAAAAAUGUAUUCGAUACUUUUGCAAUCUAUUGUUGAGUAUUAAAUGUUGAUUGUUUGUUGUGUAUACUUGAUACUGUCCCGUAGAAGAGGGAUCAUAAUCCAUUUACAAUUUCGUCACAUAGUUGUACAGAUAAAAACAUGCAAAAUGCUUACUUAGUAACUGCUUGACUAAAGAGACGAGUCGGUUUUGAAACUGUCUAUAUGAUGCAGGCUAAUUCAUUUUUGGGCAUACCGUAUUUAUUACUGAUUUUAGAGGUACAAGUGGUAUAUUAAUCUUGAAAUAUAGAUCUACAUUUAAAGGAGAAGGGUAUCUUUGAAUCCCUUAUAAACAAACAGUUUGUAAACCUGGCUAAAAUAGAUUCCAUCUACAAGGUUAUGGCUUAGCUCGGGGACUGAUAGUCCACGAGCAGGGUCAACAAGAUUUUUACACAAAACAAUCGCUAGAUACAGCAUAAUUAAAAUAAGUAGAUUAUCUAGGUUACCUUUCUCGUUAUAGUCGUUUGGUCAAUUACACAGACAAAAAAUAUCAUUCCAUUAUAUUAUGUAGAAUAGAUACAAUAAACAUAUGUUUGUAUAUAUUGUGGAAUAUGUAGCGCGGAAUUCGAAAAUAUUGAAAAGCAAUAAACCCGGGCAGCAAG
rnacentral:lncRNA from 1 species